UACGGGGGGGGGCAAGCGUUGUUCGGAAUUACUGGGCGUAAAGGGCUCGUAGGCGGCCAACUAAGUCGGACGUGAAAUCCCCAGGCUCAACCUGGGAACUGCGUCCGAUACUGGAUGGCUUGAAUCCGGGAGAGGGAUGCAGAAUUCCAGGUGUAGCGGUGAAAUGCGUAGAUAUCUGGAGGAACACCGGUGGCGAAGGCGGCAUCCUGGACCGGCAUUGACGCUGAGGCGCGAAAGCUAGGGGAGCAAACGGG
rnacentral:rRNA from 1 species